rnacentral:misc_RNA from 1 species
AACAAGGCGUACCUGCGGACCUGCGGAAGGAUCAUUACAAGUGACCCCGGUCUAACCACCGGGAUGUUCAUAACCCUUUGUUGUCCGACUCUGUUGCCUCCGGGGCGACCCCGCCUUCGGGCGGGGGCUCCGGGUGGACACUUCAAACUCUUGCGUAACUUUGCAGUCUGAGUAAACUUAAUUAAUAAAUUAAAACUUUCAACAACGGAUCU